rnacentral:rRNA from 1 species
GAUGAACGCUGGCGGCGUGCCUAACACAUGCAAGUCGAACGAAGCACCUUACCUGAUUCUUCGGAUGAAAGUUUGGUGACUGAGUGGCGGACGGGUGAGUAACGCGUGGGUAACCUGCCCUGUACAGGGGGAUAACAGCUGGAAACGGCUGCUAAUACCGCAUAAGCGCACGAGGAGACAUCUCCUUGUGUGAAAAACUCCGGUGGUACAGGAUGGGCCCGCGUCUGAUUAGCUGGUUGGCAGGGUAACGGCCUACCAAGGCAACGAUCAGUAGCCGGUCUGAGAGGAUGAACGGCCACAUUGGAACUGAGACACGGUCCAAACUCCUACGGGAGGCAGCAGUGGGGAAUAUUGCACAAUGGGGGAAACCCUGAUGCAGCAACGCCGCGUGAGUGAAGAAGUAUUUCGGUAUGUAAAGCUCUAUCAGCAGGGAAGAUAAGGACGGUACCUGACUAAGAAACUCCGGCUAAAUACGU